GUAUCUUCGGAGACAUCAGAUAAAAUUGGAAUGAUACAGAGAAGAUUAGCAUGGUCCCUGUGUAAGGAUGACACGCACAAAUCGCAAAAAAUAAUGUCAUUUU
rnacentral:snRNA from 1 species